AACGAACGCUGGCGGCGUGGAUAAGACAUGCAAGUCGAACGCUAAUCCCUGAGUAGCAAUAUUCCGGGGUUGGAGUGGCGUAAGGGUGCGUAACACGUGGGUAAUUUGCCGUGAAGAUCGGGACAACUUGCUGAAAGGCGAGCUAAUACCGAAUGUGGCCGUUGGGGAGCAUUCUCCGAUGGCUAAAGUUGGGGACCGCAAGGCCUGACGCUUCAUGAUAAGCCCGCGGCCUAUCAGCUAGUUGGUGGGGUAAAAGCCCACCAAGGCUAAGACGGGUAGCUGGUCUGAGAGGACGACCAGCCACACUGGAACUGAGACACGGUCCAGACACCUACGGGAGGCUG
rnacentral:rRNA from 1 species